UACGGAGGAUCCAAGCGUUAUCCGGAUUUAUUGGGUUUAAAGGGUGCGUAGGCGGCUUAUUAAGUCAGGGGUGAAAGACGGUGGCUCAACCAUCGCAGUGCCCUUGAUACUGAUGAGCUUGAAUACACUUGAGGUAGGCGGAAUGUGACAAGUAGCGGUGAAAUGCAUAGAUAUGUCACAGAACACCAAUUGCGAAGGCAGCUUACUAAGGUGCAAUUGACGCUGAGGCACGAAAGCGUGGGGAGUCAAACAGG
rnacentral:rRNA from 1 species